rnacentral:rRNA from 1 species
GAAAGUAAGCAAGGGCGCAUGGAGGAUGCCUUGGCUCUCGGAGGCGAAGAAGGACGUGAUAAGCUGCGAAAAGCUACGGUAAGGAGCAAAUAUCCGCUGACCCGUAGAUCUCCGAAUGGGGCAACCCGUCGUCGGAAGGCGACACACUGCAAAGCAGUGGGCAAACGUGGGGAACUGAAACAUCUCAUUACCCACAGGAAAAGAAAAUAACAAUGAUUCCGCCAGUAGUGGCGAGCGAACGCGGAAUAGCCCAAACCGUUCCUGUUUCGGCAGGAGCGGGGUAGAAGGACCGCCAAUAAAGGCAAGAGCGGAGGAAGUCGAACCAAUUGGAAAGUUGGAUCAAAGAAGGUGACAAUCCCGUAGACGAAUCCGAAGCGAAGCCGAGGCGGCACCUGAGUAGUGCGGGACACGAGAAAUCCUGUAUGAAUCCGCGGGGACCAUCCCGUAAGGCUAAAUACUCCCGAGAGACCGAUAGCGAACCAGUACUGUGAAGGAAAGGUGAAAAGAACCUCGAACAGAGGAGUGAAACAGACCCUGAAACCAUGCGCCUACAAGCGGUCGGAGCUUCUAUAAGGAGUGACGGCGUGCCUUUUGCAUAAUGAACCUACGAGUUACUCUUGCCGGCGAGGCUAAGGGCUUCAGGCCCGGAUCCGAAGCGAAAGCGAGUCUGAAUAGGGCGUCAUAGUCAGCAGGAGUAGACGCGAAACCAAGUGAUCUACCCAUGAGCAGGUUGAAGGUUGGGUAACACCAACUGGAGGACCGCACCGGUAAACGUUGAAAAGUUUUCGGAUGACUUGUGGGUAGGGGUGAAAGGCUAAUCAAACUUGGAGAUAGCUCGUACUCCCCGAAAUGCAUUUAGGUGCAGCCUUCGGGGCUGAGUUGAAGAGGUAGAGCGACUGAUAAGAUCCGAAUGCUUCAACUUUUACCCGAGGAGUGAGGGCAUGGGUGCUAAGGUCCAUGUCCGAGAGGGAAAUAACCCAGACCAUCAGCUAAGGUCCCGAAAUAAUAGCUAAGUUGAAUUAACGAAGUAGAAUUGCAAAGACAGCUAGGAUGUUGGCUUGGAAGCAGCCAUUCAUUUAAAGAGUGCGUAACAGCUCACUAGUCGAGGAAUUCUGCGUGGAUAAUAAUCGGGCAUAAGCUAUUUACCGAAGCUAUGGAAUAUGCAAAUAUUGGUAGGGGAGCAUUCCACGGGUCGCAGAAGGCCUGUCUCGAGACAGACUGGAGACAGUGGAAAAGCAAAUGUAGGUAUAAGUAACGAUAAAGGAGGCGAGAAACCUCCUCGCCGCAAGACCAAGGGUUCCUGAUCAACGCUAAUCGGAUCAGGGUAAGUCGGGCCCUAAGGCGCAGCCGAACGGCGCAGCCGAUGGCAGAAACGGUUAAUAUUCCGUUACUGAAUGUAAGAGUGAUGCGGAGACGGAGCAGUGACACAUCCGCCUGCAGACGGAAUAGCAGGUUAAAGAGUGUAGAUAAUAUUUCGGUAGGCAAAUCCGCCGGGAUAGUCGAACUUGACAGUACCGGGCGUCCUCGGACAACCGGAUAGCGAUGGUAAUCAGACUCCCAAGAAAAUCCGCUAAACAUAUGUUACAUUCACCCGUACCCCAAACGGACACACGUGGUUGGGUAGAAUAUACCAAGGCGCUCGAGAGAUUCACGGUUAAGGAACUAGGCAAAUUGACCCUGUAACUUCGGGAAAAAGGGUCCCAACGUCAAAGUUGGGCGCAGAGAAUAGGUCCAGGCAACUGUUUAACAAAAACACAGGGCUGUGCGAAAUUGAAAGAUGAAGUAUACAGCCUGACACCUGCCCGGUGCUGGAAGGUUAAGAGGAGACGUCAUCGCAAGAGAAGCGUAGAAUUGAAGCCCCAGUAAACGGCGGCCGUAACUAUAACGGUCCUAAGGUAGCGAAAUUCCUUGUCGGGUAAGUUCCG